AACAUUUUUAUCAUAAUAUUAAUUACUUGUAGGACUCAUCUUCACUGUGUUGCUUCGUGCAAUAAUUCAACUGCUGGAAAACCUUGAUCAACUUGAGUAAUCAUGAAACAACCUGGGAGAGAGUGAAAAAUGCUUUGAAUACCUCUGCAACUUAUAUGUCAAACUGAAAGAUUGUUGGAGAAAAAAGAGGAAAAACUUUGCAUUAAAGUGCUGCAAACUUUUAAAGAAAUGAUGUCAUUAGACCCAGACUAUGGAGAAAAGGUAUGUUUAGUCUUAACUAUUUACUUACAAGGGCAGUAAAUAACCAGUGACUUUUGAUUCGUAUUUGUUCCUAUUAUAAAUGGUUAUGAAAGCUUAAGUUCUGAUAAAGACCAAGUGUGUGUUUUUUUUUAUUCAUUGUUCUGCUUUUAUUAUACUAAUAGAUUACAAAGUUUGUCAUCAUUGCAAAUUAUUUGUUUCUUUUUGUUUCAUGUCAAGUUUCAG